CCUACGGGAGGCAGCAGUGAGGAAUAUUGGUCAAUGGGCGUAAGCCUGAACCAGCCAAGUCGCGUGAGGGAUGAAGGCCCUAUGGAUCGUAAACCGCUUUUAUAAGGGAAUAAAGUGCGGGACGUGUCCCGUUUUGUAUGUACCUUAUGAAUAAGGAUCGGCUAACUCCGUGCCAGCAGCCGCGGUAAUACGGAGGAUCCGAGCGUUAUCCGGAUUUAUUGGGUUUAAAGGGUGCGUAGGCGGCCUUUUAAGUCAGCGGUGAAAGGCUGGGGCUCAACCAGAGAAUUGCCGUUGAAACUGGGAGGCUUGAGUCUGGUGGAGGCAGGCGGAAUUCGUGGUGUAGCGGUGAAAUGCUUAGAUAUCACGAAGAACCCCGAUUGCGAAGGCAGCCUGC
rnacentral:rRNA from 1 species